UACGUAGGGUGCAAGCGUUUGUCCGGAAUUAUUGGGCGUAAAGAGCUCGUAGGCGGCUUGUCGCGUCGGCUGUGAAAACCCGCGGCUUAACUGCGGGCUUGCAGCCGAUACGGGCGGGCUGGAGUUCGGUAGGGGAGACUGGAAUUCCUGGUGUAGCGGUGAAAUGCGCAGAUAUCAGGAGGAACACCGGUGGCGAAGGCGGGUCUCUGGGCCGAUACUGACGCUGAGGAGCGAAAGCGUGGGGAGCGAACAGG
rnacentral:rRNA from 1 species